AUUGAACGCUGGCGGCAUGCCUUACACAUGCAAGUCGAACGGUAACAGGUCUUCGGAUGCUGACGAGUGGCGAACGGGUGAGUAAUACAUCGGAACGUGCCCGAGAGUGGGGGAUAACGAAGCGAAAGCUUUGCUAAUACCGCAUACGAUCUCAGGAUGAAAGCAGGGGAACGCAAGGCCUUGCGCUCACGGAGCGGCCGAUGGCAGAUUAGGUAGUUGGUGGGAUAAAAGCUUACCAAGCCGACGAUCUGUAGCUGGUCUGAGAGGACGACCAGCCACACUGGGACUGAGACACGGCCCAGACUCCUACGGGAGGCAGCAGUGGGGAAUUUUGGACAAUGGGCGCAAGCCUGAUCCAGCCAUGCCGCGUGCAGGAUGAAGGCCUUCGGGUUGUAAACUGCUUUUGUACGGAACGAAAAGACUCUGGUUAAUACCUGGGGUCCAUGACGGUACCGUAAGAAUAAGCACCGGCUAACUACGUGCCAGCAGCCGCCGUAACAC
rnacentral:rRNA from 1 species